ACCCAGGCGUGCCAACUUUUUAAUAUUUUUUUUAUUUUUUAAAGGCAUGUGGGUGUAUCACGCAUCGGAAUAAUAAUUUAAAACACGCCUGUCGAGCGCCUGACCGUAGCCAGGCCCGUUCUCGGCACGGAGGAGAGUGGAGACUGAGGCGGACAAUUUGAGAAGAAAGAAAACGGCCUGUUUGUUCUCCACCCCCUCGUGUUAGGGAGCAAAUCCGUGCCCACUGCCAGGACAUCAAGGGUGUGAGAACGGCCACGCGCAUGACCAGGAUUCCCUGAAAAGGCCUCGCUGGCAUCCCGUCCCCGGGCUCCACUCCGGCGGUAAACCCCAGCUUCCCUCACCUUUGCUGAGCCCCGGGCCCCCUUGGUGCCGGUGAAGGCCGCACGCUUCUUCUCGGAAAAGUGUUUUCAAACACGCGUAGGAAAACACGUAGCAUUAGGGUGGAGAUCAAUUACCCUGGAAUAGGGUUGGUGAAAUAUCUGUGGUGUAGAAACGCCGUGUUUCUUUAUUAGCGUGUUAAAAACCGAGAUCCCGCGUCGGGUCCAACUACUAUCGUUUUGACGGAACAAGGAGAAAAAUCCAGCGUCUCCACAUGUCUGCAGUAGCUGGACAUGCAAACGUCUCGUCAUUUCUGUUGGUGACAAAGUCACAGGUGACGUGAGCACGAAUGAG
rnacentral:lncRNA from 1 species